rnacentral:rRNA from 1 species
GAGUUUGAUCCUGGCUCAGGAUGAACGCUAGCUACAGGCUUAACACAUGCAAGUCGAGGGGCAUCAUGAACAAAGCUUGCUUUCUUUGCUGGCGACCGGCGCACGGGUGAGUAACACGUAUCCAACCUGCCCUUUACUCGGGGAUAGCCUUUCGAAAGAAAGAUUAAUACCCGAUAGCAUAAUGAUUCCGCAUGGUUUCAUUAUUAAAGGAUUCCGGUAAAGGAUGGGGAUGCGUUCCAUUAGGUUGUUGGUGAGGUAACGGCUCACCAAGCCUUCGAUGGAUAGGGGUUCUGAGAGGAAGGUCCCCCACAUUGGAACUGAGACACGGUCCAAACUCCUACGGGAGGCAGCAGUGAGGAAUAUUGGUCAAUGGGCGUUAGCCUGAACCAGCCAAGUAGCGUGAAGGAUGAAGGCUCUAUGGGUCGUAAACUUCUUUUAUAUAAGAAUAAAGUGCAGUAUGUAUACUGUUUUGUAUGUAUUAUAUGAAUAAGGAUCGGCUAACUCCGUGCCAGCCGCCGCGGUAAUAC